GACGAACGCUGGCGGCGUGCCUAAUACAUGCAAGUAGAACGAGUUGCGAACGGGUGAGUAACGCGUGGUAACCUGCCUCAUAGCGGGGGAUAACUAUUGGAAACGAUAGCUAAUACCGCAUACUGUGAGAUGGACCUGCGUUGUAUUAGCUAGUUGGUGAGGGAAAGGCUCACCAAGGCGACGAUACAUAGCUGGUCUGCGAGGAUGACCAGCCACACUGUAACUGAGACACGGUCCAGACUCCUACGGGAGGCAGCAGUGGGGAAUAUGGCACAAUGGGCGCAAGCCGGAUGCAGCCAUGCAGCGUGUAUGAAGAAGGCCGUCGGGUUGUAAAGUACUUUCAGCUAGGAGGCGUUACUCGCAGAAGAAGCACCGGCUAACUCCGUGCCAGCAGCCGCGGUAAUUC
rnacentral:rRNA from 1 species